AGCCGAGAACAGCACCCCCUGUUUACAGGCUGCAGUACAGGUCAUAAAUCCCGCCUCUGCCAGCAAACCUUAUGGGGCUGUGGACAAACUUUAGAAAUUUAUUACACAGAACAUAAAUUUUUCUCCCCCCUGCUUGUGAUGUUGACAUGUAGGUAUUGUAAGACUGGUUUGUGCUCAAGUCCUCUUUUUUCUGUACAGCUCUGUUUUUAAAAGUUAUUAGGGGGUUCAUGUUUUCUAUGAUUGACACCUGCCAUAGACUGUAUAUAGAAUGGACAGAGUCUGCCUCCUCGCUGGGUGAAGCCACUCCGAGAACAGCACCCUCUGUUGAUGGGCUGCAGUAUAGGUCAUAAAUCCCGCCUCCGCCAGCAAAGAUUAUGGAGCCGUGGACAAACUUAAAAAAUGUAUUACACAGAACAUAAAUUUUUAUCCCUCCUGAUUGUGAUGUUGACAUGUAGUUACAGUAAGACUGGUUUGUGCUCAAGUCCUCUUUUUUCUGUGAAGCUCCAUUUUUAAAAGUUAUUAGGGCUUCAUGUUUGCUA